rnacentral:lncRNA from 1 species
GAUUCGUACAGGUGCGCGUGGCCAGCUGGCUUUCUGCCGCAUAGAAGACUCGCCGCGGCAUACAGCUGAGUAUCAUUUCGCGAGAGUCCUUUCCACUCAAGCCUUCAGCGAUUUGUGCGUAAAUGUCUACACCAAAGGUCAUCUUGUUGAUUAGUGUGGUGGUUGGAAUUAAUGGGAUCGGCGUUUACGACCUCAAGUGCUUCCUUGCUACGAAUCAAAGGAUUUGGAUCCGUUACCGGAGUUUUGAAAGAUGCACUGAGGGACAAUGGCACACAUGUAUAUAUUAUAGAGUAAGCAACCAGGGUCAUGGAAAAUAUUUAUUGACACAAACGUACAAGGUUUCCGGAAGAUGGAGACGUGCGCAAUAUUAUGCAGCAGUAUACGAAGGCAGACAAGGACCAAUAAUGAGAUUGAUCCGUCUACCAGGGUCAAUUGGCGUGGAAUACACGAUGGUGUUCUGGCACAGCAGAGAAAGUUGUGCCGUUUUUACGGUAAAUACUCAAUGUGGAAAACAAUGUGAGAUGCAUGUGUGGGCCGACCACGUAGAAAAACACGUCCCACAAUGCCAACUUGCGUAUAAGCAGCACUGUCCGGGUCAGCAAUACGCUCCGUACACUCACCAUUGUCAGUAUGCAUAGCAAGUGCCACCUGGGGCACUUGCGAUAAAAUCAAGGCGCAGCCGAUACAUAAUAGCACAUUGCAAAAUAAAUCUUUAUCGUUAGUGCGGUCGCCUUGCUCAAGGCUGAAUAUUUUCU